UUAAGCGACUAAGCGUACACGGUGGAUGCCCUGGCAGUCAGAGGCGAUGAAGGACGUGCUAAUCUGCGAAAAGCGUCGGUAAGGUGAUAUGAACCGUUAUAACCGGCGAUGUCCGAAUGGGGAAACCCAGUGUGAUUCGUCACACUAUCGUUAACUGAAUACAUAGGUUAACGAGGCGAACCGGGGGAACUGAAACAUCUAAGUACCCCGAGGAAAAGAAAUCAACCGAGAUUCCCCCAGUAGCGGCGAGCGAACGGGGAGCAGCCCAGAGUCUGAAUCAGCUUGUGUGUUAGUGGAACGGUCUGGAAAGUCCGACGGUACAGGGUGAUAGUCCCGUACACCAAAAUGCACAGGUUGUGAACUCGAAGAGUAGGGCGGGACACGUGGUAUCCUGUCUGAAUAUGGGGGGACCAUCCUCCAAGGCUAAAUACUCCUGACUGACCGAUAGUGAACCAGUACCGUGAGGGAAAGGCGAAAAGAACCCCGGCGAGGGGAGUGAAAAAGAACCUGAAACCGUGUACGUACAAGCAGUGGGAGCACCUUCGGGUGUGACUGCGUACCUUUUGUAUAAUGGGUCAGCGACUUAUAUUCUGUAGCAAGGUUAACCGUAUAGGGGAGCCGCAGGGAAACCGAGUCUUAACUGGGCGUUAAGUUGCAGGGUAUAGACCCGAAACCCGGUGAUCUAGCCAUGGGCAGGUUGAAGGUUGGGUAACACUAACUGGAGGACCGAACCGACUAAUGUUGAAAAAUUAGCGGAUGACUUGUGGCUGGGGGUGAAAGGCCAAUCAAACCGGGAGAUAGCUGGUUCUCCCCGAAAGCUAUUUAGGUAGCGCCUCGUAAAUUCAUCUUCGGGGGUAGAGCACUGUUUCGGCUAGGGGGUCAUCCCGACUUACCAACCCGAUGCAAACUACGAAUACCGAAGAAUGUUAUCACGGGAGACACACGGCGGGUGCUAACGUCCGUCGUGAAGAGGGAAACAACCCAGACCGCCAGCUAAGGUCCCAAAGUCAUGGUUAAGUGGGAAACGAUGUGGGAAGGCACAGACAGCCAGGAUGUUGGCUUAGAAGCAGCCAUCAUUUAAAGAAAGCGUAAUAGCUCACUGGUCGAGUCGGCCUGCGCGGAAGAUGUAACGGGGCUAAACCAUGCACCGAAGCUGCGGCAGCGACACUAUGUGUUGUUGGGUAGGGGAGCGUUCUGUAAGCCUGCGAAGGUGGCCUGUGAGGGUUGCUGGAGGUAUCAGAAGUGCGAAUGCUGACAUAAGUAACGAUAAAGCGGGUGAAAAGCCCGCUCGCCGGAAGACCAAGGGUUCCUGUCCAACGUUAAUCGGGGCAGGGUGAGUCGACCCCUAAGGCGAGGCCGAAAGGCGUAGUCGAUGGGAAACAGGUUAAUAUUCCUGUACUUGGUGUUACUGCGAAGGGGGGACGGAGAAGGCUAUGUUAGCCGGGCGACGGUUGUCCCGGUUUAAGCAUGUAGGCUGGUUAUCCAGGCAAAUCCGGAUAAUCAAGGCUGAGGUGUGAUGACGAGGCACUACGGUGCUGAAGUAACAAAUGCCCUGCUUCCAGGAAAAGCCUCUAAGCAUCAGGUAACAUUAAAUCGUACCCCAAACCGACACAGGUGGUCAGGUAGAGAAUACCAAGGCGCUUGAGAGAACUCGGGUGAAGGAACUAGGCAAAAUGGUGCCGUAACUUCGGGAGAAGGCACGCUGGUGUGUAGGUGAAGUCCCUGCGGAUGGAGCUGAGACCAGUCGAAGAUACCAGCUGGCUGCAACUGUUUAUUAAAAACACAGCACUGUGCAAACACGAAAGUGGACGUAUACGGUGUGACGCCUGCCCGGUGCCGGAAGGUUAAUUGAUGGGGUUAUCCGUAAGGAGAAGCUCUUGAUCGAAGCCCCGGUAAACGGCGGCCGUAACUAUAACGGUCCUAAGGUAGCGAAAUUCCUUGUCGGGUAAGUUCCGACCUGCACGAAUGGCGUAAUGAUGGCCAGGCUGUCUCCACCCGAGACUCAGUGAAAUUGAACUCGCUGUGAAGAUGCAGUGUACCCGCGGCAAGACGGAAAGACCCCGUGAACCUUUACUAUAGCUUGACACUGAACAUUGAGCCUUGAUGUGUAGGAUAGGUGGGAGGCUUUGAAGCGUGGACGCCAGUCUGCGUGGAGCCAACCUUGAAAUACCACCCUUUAAUGUUUGAUGUUCUAACGUUGGCCCCUGACCGGGGUUGCGGACAGUGUCUGGUGGGUAGUUUGACUGGGCGGUCUCCUCCCAAAGCGUAACGGAGGAGCACGAAGGUUAGCUAAUCCUGGUCGGACAUCAGGAGGUUAGUGCAAUGGCAUAAGCUAGCUUGACUGCGAGCGUGACGGCGCGAGCAGGUGCGAAAGCAGGUCAUAGUGAUCCGGUGGUUCUGAAUGGAAGGGCCAUCGCUCAACGGAUAAAAGGUACUCCGGGGAUAACAGGCUGAUACCGCCCAAGAGUUCAUAUCGACGGCGGUGUUUGGCACCUCGAUGUCGGCUCAUCACAUCCUGGGGCUGAAGUAGGUCCCAAGGGUAUGGCUGUUCGCCAUUUAAAGUGGUACGCGAGCUGGGUUUAGAACGUCGUGAGACAGUUCGGUCCCUAUCUGCCGUGGGCGCUGGAGAAUUGAGGGGGGCUGCUCCUAGUACGAGAGGACCGGAGUGGACGCAUCACUGGUGUUCGGGUUGUCAUGCCAAUGGCACUGCCCGGUAGCUAAAUGCGGAAGAGAUAAGUGCUGAAAGCAUCUAAGCACGAAACUUGCCCCGAGAUGAGUUCUCCCUGAGACUUUAAGUCUCCUGAAGGAACGUUGAAGACGACGACGUUGAUAGGCCGGGUGUGUAAGCGCAGCGAUGCGUUGAGCUAACCGGUACUAAUGAACCGUGAGGCUUAACCUU
rnacentral:rRNA from 1 species